rnacentral:rRNA from 1 species
CCUACGGGAGGCAGCAGUGGGGAAUAUUGCACAAUGGGCGCAAGCCUGAUGCAGCGACGCCGCGUGAGGGAUGACGGCCUUCGGGUUGUAAACCUCUUUCAGUAGGGAAGAAGCGAAAGUGACGGUACCUGCAGAAGAAGCGCCGGCUAACUACGUGCCAGCAGCCGCGGUAAUACGUAGGGCGCAAGCGUUAUCCGGAAUUAUUGGGCGUAAAGAGCUCGUAGGCGGUUUGUCGCGUCUGCCGUGAAAGUCCGGGGCUCAACUCCGGAUCUGCGGUGGGUACGGGCAGACUAGAGUGAUGUAGGGGAGACUGGAAUUCCUGGUGUAGCGGUGAAAUGCGCAGAUAUCAGGAGGAACACCGAUGGCGAAGGCAGGUCUCUGGGCAUUAACUGACGCUGAGGAGCGAAAGCAUGGGGAGCGAACAGGAUUAGAUACCCUGGUAGUCCAUGCCGUAAACGUUGGGCACUAGGUGUGGGGGACAUUCCACGUUUUCCGCGCCGUAGCUAACGCAUUAAGUGCCCGCCUGGGGAGUACGGCCGCAAGGCUAAACGUUAAAUGAAUUGAGGCUUGNGNGNGCGAGCGACGACGAGGAGAGG